GACGUAGGGCGCGAGCGUUGUCCGGAUUUAUUGGGCGUAAAGAGCUCGUAGGCGGCUCGUUGCGUCGGCUGUGAAAACCCGCAGCUCAACUGUGGGCUUGCAGCUGAUACGGGCGGGCUGGAGUUCGGUAGGGGAGACUGGAAUUCCUGGUGUAGCGGUGAAAUGCGCAGAUAUCGGGAGGAACACCUAUGGCGGAAGGCAGCUCUCUGGGACGGUACUGACGCUGAGACGCGAAAGCGUGGGGAGCGAACAGGAUAGAUACCCUUGU
rnacentral:rRNA from 1 species